CCCACCCCCCAAAAUCAAUCUUCAGAUUCUCAUAAGCUGAAGUUUGAAUUUCAAAUUCAAUUCUAGAUCUAGUUCUUAAAAAACCAAAAACAAAACAAAAAUCUUCCAAAAGGGUCAAAAACACUGUUUCUUUGGACUUGGUAGUCCAAUUUCGAGUGUAGUUACUGGUUUACUUCUCCUAAUUCAGUACUUGGUAACUGAAACUCUGAAACAUGUUCUGAUUUGGGUUAGUCAAGUCUGAUUGUUUGUUUCUGAUUGCUGAGGGUUAUUUGGUAUACUUGGAUUCAAUCCCUAGCUCAUUUGAGUCGUUUAUGGUUGAAUUUUGCUUCUGCUCGAUUUCGGACUUCACUGGAGUUGUUGAAUUCAUUUCUAGAUGUGAUUCAACUUCUGCUUGUCAUUGUUACUGAUUUUGAGUGAUGCUUAUUGCUUCACUGUUGCUGAUCUCCUUCUCUUUUGCUUGUACUUGAAAUUCAGGUACACUUCGAGACUGAUUUGAUGUAGCAUCUCUUGUUGAAAACAUGAAAUGAAGUUGAAGCCAAAAUUCUGAUAUUGCUCUGUUAUUUUAACGAUUCUGUAUGUUUUAGAUAAUUUUUGUGACUUGAUUAGUAGUCUAUUGUUACUCCUGUAUGCAUAGCUGAACUGAAAACUGGACUGUAUGAUUUGGACUGUCCCAGACUAUCAAAUUUGUAAUUAUCCAGUUCUAGUCUCAGUAUAGUUUAGUUCUGGUUUCAUUUUAGCAUUGUAUUUAAAAAUAGAUAAUCAGCACAAUAUAGUUUCAUUUCAGCGACUAGUUUAAUUUUCAAUGUUAGUAAGUAGGUUGAAUUUGGGAAACUGAUUAAUAGAUCCUUCUUUGUGGUUAACACUUGUGCACUCGAAUUGUUGUAGAUGAUUAGCACAAGUCAGUUGUAUUACACACGAUCUUCACUUGUAUUAAUAAUUGUAGUGUAAUCCUGAAGUUAUAAUGUCUGUGGUUAGUAAUAAUAACUGUGAGUUCAUAGGAAUCAAAAGCGAUUAAGGUAGAGCUACUUCGAAACGCUUCAGUCAUCUCGAAACUAAUUCGUUAGCCUUGUCAAUUGACAAUUGUUUAAGCUGUUUUGGAUAAAUUCCACAACCAAGGUGUAGUUAGUUAUGUUGAAUUCCUUGUUUUAGAAUUAAUUAAUGUAUCAAUGAUAAGCACUGCGUGUGGGUUCGAUAUUGGCUUGGGACGUCACAGCCACUUGGGCCUCUCUUUUGUUUGCACCGGACAAACUCGAUAUUGUUUUAAUGCACCACAACCACUUGGGCCUAUCUUCUGCUUGCGCCUGGCCCAGAUAAUCCCUUUUAAAGGGCUGGCAUUGAGGCAUGUCAGCUGCAAUUGUUCAAUGGCAAACUCGCUUAGUCCGUUAAGUUUGGGCUUUCAAGUUAGGUAGCGGGUACAAAUUAAGAGGUUAUCCCUUUUGUUUAAAUCCGGAUUUGAACUCGAGGUCCAAAAAUUUAUAAUAUCAAUUGACUAGGACUCUUUCUUUAUUUUUAGAGACAAAAAUAUAGAAAAUUAUAGAUUGCUUUAGGAUUGACCCUUAAAUAAUAAAAUGAGACGAGCCUCGCCAAAUAAAAUGCAUAAAUUGUGGGCCUUCAUG
rnacentral:lncRNA from 1 species